GACGAACUCUGGCGGCGCGCCUAACACAUGCAAGUCGAACGAGCGAGAGAGAGCUUGCUUUCUCGAGCGAGUGGCGAACGGGUGAGUAACGCGUGAGGAACCUGCCUCAAAGAGGGGGACAACAGUUGGAAACGACUGCUAAUACCGCAUAAGCCCACGGUGCCGCAUGGCACAGAGGGAAAAGGAGCAAUCCGCUUUGAGAUGGCCUCGCGUCCGAUUAGCUAGUUGGUGAGGUAACGGCCCACCAAGGCGACGAUCGGUAGCCGGACUGAGAGGUUGAACGGCCACAUUGGGACUGAGACACGGCCCAGACUCCUACGGGAGGCAGCAGUGGGGAAUAUUGCACAAUGGGGGAAACCCUGAUGCAGCGACGCCGCGUGGAGGAAGAAGGUCUUCGGAUUGUAAACUCCUGUUGUUGGGGAAGAUAAUGACGGUACCCAACAAGGAAGUGACGGCUAACUACGUGCCAGCAGCCGCGGUAAAACGUAGGUCACGAGCGUUGUCCGGAAUUACUGGGUGUAAAGGGAGCGCAGGCGGGAAGACAAGUUGGAAGUGAAAUCUAUGGGCUCAACCCAUAAACUGCUUUCAAAACUGUUUUUCUUGAGUAGUGCAGAGGUAGGCGGAAUUCCCGGUGUAGCGGUGGAAUGCGUAGAUAUCGGGAGGAACACCAGUGGCGAAGGCGGCCUACUGGGCACCAACUGACGCUGAGGCUCGAAAGUGUGGGUAGCAAACAGGAUUAGAUACCCUGGUAGUCCACACCGUAAACGAUGAUUAAUAGGUGUUGGAGGAUUGACCCCUUCAGUGCCGCAGUAAC
rnacentral:rRNA from 1 species